UACGUAGGGUGCAAGCGUUGUCCGGAAUUAUUGGGCGUAAAGAGCUCGUAGGCGGUUUGCCGCGUCUGCUGUGAAAACGCGAGGCUCAACCUCGCGCCUGCAGUGGGUACGGGCAGACUAGAGUGCGGUAGGGGAGAUUGGAAUUCCUGGUGUAGCGGUGGAAUGCGCAGAUAUCAGGAGGAACACCGAUGGCGAAGGCAGAUCUCUGGGCCGUAACUGACGCUGAGGAGCGAAAGCGUGGGGAGCGAACAGG
rnacentral:rRNA from 1 species